rnacentral:lncRNA from 1 species
AAAAAAACACCAAUAAGAAAUGGGAGAAUCAUGGAAUCACCUAGAAGGAUGAUGCAAGAAUGAAACAAAUUAUCACUGUUGUAUCAUCCUUCAGGUUUUUGAUCACAUUGCCUGAAGUAUUACAUCAUUUCUCGAGAAAGUAUAAAAGAAGACAGAGGAUACCAUUUUUGUAGUCUUCUUCUUCUUACUUUUAUCAAAUAUAGUUGUAAAUUCAGCUAUAUUUUUCAUUUUUCUGCACAAACUGUAAAGAGAAGAAAAGUGACAGAGGAAAAUGUUGUACAGUUAUUAGUCAAAUCAGAAGAUGAAUGCAGAGAGACAGCACUAUGGAAGACUCGAUAAUGGCGAAACUGACUGAAGUGUAUAAGCAAAGUCUCAGACUAUGAGUCCUACAUGAUAAUAACCUAGAUUAAUUUCCUCAGAUUUAAGGAUUCAUGAGUAAACAAUAUAUUUCUAAGGAUAACAAAAAAUAUGAUAUUCUCAUCCUGUUAGUCAUUCAACAGGAAUGAUUUCAUCACACUAUAUUUUGCCGCAAAAACUUGGAGCAUCCUGUUUUGCUAAAAGAAUGGGGGCCAAUUUUUUUUUUUUUUACUUUUUAUGUUUGUUUAUUGAAAUUUUCUUGAUACAGUUUGAAGGGGACAAAUGAUGAAGUCAGAUCAAAGGUGAGUACAAAGAUGAUUGAAAAGAAAUAGGUGGUAUGGAAAGGAAAGAAAAAAAUCACUGGACUAAACAUUCUAAUUGGUGUUUAUAAAUUUAAAAAUAAAAAUGCUUUUCAAUUACAGAGAAAAGAAGAUGACCAUCUUCUCCUGAACAAAAUUAUGAACUGUCAGAGGUUUCAAAGGUAAUAAGUUUUAUGAUGCAAGUGGAAGAAGAACCAGAAGUAAUGAUGAGCUAGAACUUAUCAGAGAUUUCCUUGAAAUCAGGACUUGGUGUUUAUAAGAUGGGUCUGUCCCAGGCUUAUGCAUGACAGCUGGUGAGCAGUUAGUUGCAUGCAGAGGACAUUGCUCAUUUUGGGCCUAUCUACACUCAAAACCAGGAAAAUAUGCUGUGAAAAUUUGCUAUUACUAACGUCUCUAAUAAAGUUUUAAAAAACGAUCCUUUUAGUCUUACUUCUGUAGAUUUAUUCAUAAACAUAGAAAGGAUCCAUUGGACCCUGAUGGUAAAAGAUGAUGAUGACAUUUUCCUGCUACACCG